rnacentral:tmRNA from 1 species
GGGGGUGUUACAGAUUCGAUUGGGCGACCGAAACGAAAAGCAAGCAUACCGAAGUCCCGGCUUCGUUAAAACGGGAAAAAUAAAAUUAAAUGCUAACAAUAAUUCUGAAUUAGCAUACGCUGCUUAAUUAAGCGUAAGUUCCGGACGGAGUUUUCCCGUCGGCACUGUUCGGGGCUUAAUUAAAGGCGGGGUACGGCAGUAAAAAUCUUGCCGCGUUUUUACUGCGGAAUUUAGCGGACUUGGUUUUUUUAUAGGUCGCCGACGACCGUGGAAAAACCGAAAUUCAAUCGUCGGAUAAGUAUGUAGAAAGUUUCGUUAAAGCGUUCAAGACCGGAGUGCAAGUCUCCGCAUCUCCACCA